UUUAGGUUGUGCAAUGGAGUUGGAUUUCAAUGCCGGUUGAUGCUGAGUUUUGGUGAAGUUGAAGAGGAUCAAAGAGAGGGUUCUUCCGAUAAAUGCUCUCUCUAUAUCUCCCUUUAAAUUUGCUUCCUUUUUCAUGUCUUCUCCCUCUUUAUUCUCUCCCCCUUCACUCCCUUUUAUGUCUGGAUUUUUGUU